UACGUAGGGGGCUAGCGUUGUCCGGAAUCAUUGGGCGUAAAGAGCGUGUAGGCGGCUCGGUAAGUCCGCUGUGAAGGUCCAGGGCUCAACCCUGGAAUGCCAGUGGAAACUGUCGAGCUAGAGUCCGGAAGAGGCGAGUGGAAUUCCUGGUGUAGCGGUGAAAUGCGCAGAUAUCAGGAGGAACACCAAUGGCGAAGGCAGCUCGCUGGGACGGUACUGACGCUGAGACGCGAAAGCGUGGGGAGCAAACAGG
rnacentral:rRNA from 1 species